GCGGAUGUGGCGGAAUUGGUAUACGCGCAUGCUUGAGGUGCAUGUCCCGCAAGGGGUGGAGGUUCAAGUCCUCUCGUCCGCA
rnacentral:tRNA from 1 species